UGGGGCGGGGCCAGGGCUAGGGCGAGUCGUAAUAUAGAGCCAGCACUGCCCGCUAGCAGUACAGUGCGGAGACUGGAGCCCUAGAGCCCGCCCGAGCAUCAGAGUGUCCACUAGUCCCCGCUAUUCCGGCCCUGCGCUCCUCCGGCCAUAGGUGCGGAGCCGCUGUCUAGAGCCCCAGCCUCGCCACCAUGAGACUCCUGCUGGCAUGCCUUCUCCUCUGCGCCCUGGUCGUGAGAGACUCCGAGGGCAGCCAUGAACUUCAUCAAGUGUCUGGUGCCUCGAAGUGUGGCUGUCUGAAUGGAGGAAAAUGUGUGUCCUACAAGUACUUCUCCAACAUUCAACGAUGCGACUGCCCAAAGAAAUUCCAAGGGGAACACUGUGAGAUAGAUACAUCGAAAACCUGCUAUCAGGGGAAUGGUCACUCUUACCGAGGGAAGGCCAACACUGACACCAGCGGCCGGCCCUGCCUGGCCUGGAACUCUCCCACCAUCCUUCUGAAAACGUACCAUGCCCACAGACCUGAUGCCCUUCAGCUGGGACUGGGGAAACACAAUUACUGCAGGAACCCAGACAAUCAGAGGAGACCCUGGUGCUAUGUGCAUGUUGGCCUAAUGCAGGUUGUCCAGGAGUGCAUGGUGCACAGCUGCUCUUCUGAAAGAAAUGCCCUCUCUCCUCCAGAAAAGUUACAGUGUGGCCAGAAGGCUCUGAGGCCCCGCUUUAAGAUUGUUGGGGGAGAAUUCACCACCAUCGAGAACCAGCCUUGGUUUGCAGCCAUCUAUAGGAGGCACCGUGCAGGCUCUGUUACCUACGUGUGCGGUGGCAGCCUCAUCAAUCCCUGCUGGGUGGUCAGCGCCACACACUGCUUCAUUGAAUACCAAAAGAAGGAGGACUACAUUGUCUACCUGGGUCGGUCAAAGCUUAACUCCAUCACGCCUGGCGAGAUGCAGUUUGAGGUGCAAAAGCUCAUCUUACAUAAGGACUACAGUGCUGACACCCUUGCUCACCACAAUGAUAUUGCCUUGCUGAAGAUCCGUUCCAGCACAGGCCAGUGUGCACAGCCAUCCCGGUCCAUACAGGUCAUCUGCCUGCCCCCAGCGAAUGGGGAUGCCCAUUUUGGCACAAGCUGUGAGGUUACUGGCUUUGGAAAAGAGAAUCCCUCUGACUAUAUCUAUCCAGAGCAGCUGAAAAUGACUGCUGUGAAGCUGGUUUCCCACGAGGAGUGUCAGCAGCCCCACUACUAUGGCACUGAAGUCACCAGCAAAAUGCUGUGUGCGGCUGACCCACAGUGGGAAACAGAUUCCUGCCAGGGAGACUCAGGGGGGCCGCUGGUCUGCUUCACCCAAGGCCGCAUGACUCUGACUGGGAUUGUGAGCUGGGGCCGUGAAUGUGCCAUGAAGGAAAAGCCAGGCGUCUACACAAGGGUCUCAAGCUUCCUGCCCUGGAUCCACACUCACACUGGGGGAGAGAAUGGCCUAGCCCUCUGAGGGCCCCCAGAGAACCAAGGGAAGAGACAGGUACCACCCACUCCCACAGUGACCGUCAUUUUUGCAGUAGGGCCAUCUGCACAGCUAUAUAUAACGAAGAGACUGAGGAAGAUGAGCUCUGCAGAGGUGGUUUUGCUUGUGCUGCCCAUCAGGCUGGACUACUUCAUGGCUGAGAGAAUGAGGAGGAAGGAUGGACAGAGGCACGGGGUGGGAUAAACACUUUGCUUAGAACAUCCAUCUAAAGCAGUGGCUCUCCAGGUAUGGUCCUUAAAUCAGCAACUUCAGAUCACCUAGCACAUGUUAGAAGUGCAAAAUUAUCAGGUCCCACUCAAACCUACUGAAUCAGCAACUCUAGAGGUGGGGCCCAGCAAUCUGUGUUUUAACAAGACCUCCAGGUAAUUCUUUUACAUACUCAAGUUUGAGAACCACCCAUCUAAUGCAUUGAUUCUCAGACUUCAGUAUGCACACGAACCACCUGGGGAGCUUGUUAACCAUAACGUGGUUAAACAAAACUGGAUUGGUAUCUGGGCAACUGUAUUUUUAGCAAGCUCCCUAGGUGAUUCUGGUAUUCAUCAAAGAUUGAGAAUCACUGAUCUAAGGAAUUCAUUUUAUCAGUUAGCUGAGUCUCCUGGGGAGGGAGCAGACAGAAGGCUGUGGAAAUGUCUCUCAAAGUUACAAAUGCCACCUGCAUCUGCACUUCUGGGGAGCUUGUUAGAAAAGCAGGAUCUGAGUAUCAGAUGUAUUGACCCCAAAUCUCUGGACCUGAGGACCUGGCAGCCACAUUCAGAGUUCUGCAGGUGAUUCUUAUGCAUGUGAAAGUUUGAUAACCCCGGAGCAACAGGUCAGCAGGCAUUCUCAAUGAUGGAUGCAUUGUAGAAUCACCUGGGGAGUUUUAACAGUGACCUGAUAUCUGAACCCCACCUCCAGAGAGUCUGAUUUAAUUGGUCUGGGAUGGGGCUUCAAUAUUUUAUACAAGUCGUCCCUCCCACCCCCACCCAAGUGAUUUUAAUGUAUCGUUAGGGUUAAGAACCAUCAGGUUAAAGGAUGAUGCAGAUCUGGGAAGAAUCAGGAAAUAAGAGAAAGCGAAGGAGUGCCAAAGAAACAAUUGGUGGAAUCCUGUGGGGGAGGUUAGAAAUGUCAAGUUGGAAAUAGGGAGGAGAUAGAAAGGUGGGAAGGGCCUCAGGUGGGAGGGGGAGUAGGUUGGCUUGAGUGGUGUGGAGCUUGGUGUAGGAAAAGGGUUAGUGUAUUAGUUUUCUACUGCUGCUGUAACACAUUACCACAAAUUUAGUGACUUAAAAUAACAUAAAGGCAUUAUUUUACAAUUCUGGAGGUCAGAAAUCCAAAAUGGGUCAGCAGGGCUGAAUUCCUUCUGGAGAUUCUAGGGGAGCAGAAUCCAUUUCCUUGCCUUUUCUAGCUUCUAGAGGCUACCCACAUUCCUUAGCUCAUGACUCCACAUCACUCUGACCUUUGCUUCUGGCAUCACAUCUCCCUCUCUCACUCUGACUCUCCUGUUUCCCUCUUAUAAAGAUCCCCUUAUACAUUGUGAUUAUGUCGGUCCUACCCAGAUAAUCUAGAAUAAUCUCCCCAUCUCAAGAUCAUAACUUAAUCACAUCUGCAAAGUCCCUUUUUUCAUGUAAGCUAACAUAGUCAUAGAUUCCAGGGAUUAGGAUGUGGAUAUUCUUGAGGGUCAUUAUUUGGCCCACAACAGUCCGCUCUCUGGCCCCCAAAGAUUCACAAUCAUCACAUAUACAAAAUACACUCACCCCCAUUCCAACAUCCUCCCAAAUCUCGACCCAUUAGAGCAUGAACUCAAAGCCUAAAAUCUCAUCACCUCAAAAGCCCCAACUUUCAUCAUCUAAAUAUUCUUAAAUAAGGUAUGAGUGAGGUACUGGAUAUAAUCCAUCCUAAGACCCAUGUUCUCUCCAUCUGUGAACCUGUGAAACUCAAGAAACAAGUUAUCUGCUUCUAGGAAUAGGCAUAGGAUAAUAGUUAUAGACAUUCUCAUUCAAAAAGGGAGAAAAUGGAAGGAAAAAAGAAGUCACUGGUCCCAAGAAAUGUCAAAAUACUGCUGGGCAAACUCCUUUAGGUUUCAAGGACUGAGAAUAAUCCUCUGUGGCUCAAGGCUCUGUCCUCUGGGGUUGCCCCUCCUCUCUCAGAGUCAUUUUUCCUUUUACUUGAAGGGUAACUUAUGUUUGCAGCAAGAACUUUUAUCACCCUGUUUCCUGCCUGUGGAAUGUUGAGAGUCUGAUAAUCUUCUUUCAUUUUGUUUUCUCUGUCACUUUCAGUCCAAAGUGUUUCUACUGAUAUAAAAUUCUUACGAACCUUGUGGGUCUCUCACAUAUGUCAUAGGCAUUCACUCCAUUAGAUAAAAGUCUUCUCCACAGAUUUUUCUUGGAUGAUCCCAUCUCUAUCUCUGGAUUCUGCUGAGAUGGUUGUGGGGAUCCAUGAGUAACAUGCCCAAUCCAUUGUAAGAGCAUUUUGUAGUAAUAAAUGCUCUGACUUUUUGUAUUAGCAGAAGGUCGUCCAGUCACAACUUUGACUUUCUCUCUAGAGUAUUGUUUCCUGAGAGUGAAUCUGCUAAUUAUAACGUCUUUUCCAAUCUGGAUAGGGUGAGAAUCUCCCAGACCACUAAGUCCUGGUUCCUUUUUAUUCAGAGUUCUUCCCUCAGUUUACUUCUUUCCUCUCACAUUUUACUCUAAAGAUCAAACAUAAAUCAGAUUUCACCUUCAACACUUUGCUUGGAAAUCUCCUAAGCUAAAUACCCAAGUUCAUUCCUCACAAGUUCUGCUUUCCAUAAAACUAUAGGAUACAAUUCAGCUAAGUUUCUGCCGCUAUAUAACAAAGACAUCCCCCUCUUCAGUUUCCAAUAAAAUAUUCCUCACUUCCAGGCCUUCACCAGCUGUACCUUCAAUAUCCAUAUUUUUACAAAUAUUCUGUUUAUGAUUUAGAUAUUAUCUAAAACAAUAUGUUUUCUCUACUGUGCUCUUCACUUUCUUCUUAUCCCUCACCAGUAGAGUUUUUAACAUCCAUAGUUCUACUAACAGGCUGUUCAAGACAACCUAGGCUUUUUCUAUCAUGCUUCUAAAAAUUCUUCCAUUCACUGCCUACUGCCCAAUUCCAAAGCCACUUAGUUUUUAGGGUAUUUGUUACAUCAGUGCCCUACUCUUGGUACCAAAAUCUACAUUAGUUUCCAAUUUCUGCUAUAACAAAGGACCACAAAUAUAGUAGCUUAGAAUAAUACAAAUGUAUUAUCUUACAGUUCUAGAGGUCAAAAGUCCAAAAUGAAUCAGCAGGACUGGAGGGUCUAGGUGGAAUCUCUUUCCUUGCCUUUUCCAGCUUCUAAAGGCUGCCCACAUUCCUUGGCUCAUGGUCCCAUAGCACUCUGACCUCUGCUUCCUUCAUUACCUCCCUUCCUCUCACUCUGGUCCUUCUGUUUCCGUCUAAAGGACCCUUGUGAUUAUAUUGGGUCCACCUGGAUAAUUCAGGACAAUCUCACCAUCUCAAGAUCCUUAACUUAAUCAUAUCUGCAAAGUCUCCUUUGCCAUAUAAGGUAACAUAUUCAUAAGUCCCAGGGAUUAGGAUGUUGACAUAUUUGGGAGGCCACUAUUUGCCUACUAUAGUUAGCACAGCUUAAUGGGAGUGGAAACAGUUGCUUCAGGAACAGUGAAAGUCAAGUAGAGGUGAAGGUCCCCAGUCUGCAGUCCAGCUUCUCCCAGGGUUGGGUUGGUCAUGUCUGGCUGGCUCCAGGAAGCCCCUGGCGUGGCUGAAAUGUUUGGUCAGUCACAUGUUUAUUGGUGUUCCUCAGGCCCUGGACUCUCUCCUCUACUCAGAGAGAGGAGGAGGGAAAUAACAUUUACUGAGGGCCCACCAAGUGCCUGGAACACAGACAGGCAAAGAAGCCACAGAUUCUUGAUUCUCUAUCCUAAGGCCUUGCCCCUGGCCUGGGACUCCAAAGUCCCUCAAAGAGCAGGGGUCCUUAGCAUCCACAAUCAGACUUGUAGUGGUCCCUGCAACCCCCAACGGCUAAUCUCCUUCCUGGGCAGGCAGUUGUGUCAUGUUGGGCAGCACCUUUCCCUCCCUGGCACCUGUGUGUGACUCAGACCCCCAGGUAAAGCCCAACCCAAUGGGAAGUGACUAAGCAUUGAACUUUGCUUCCUCUUAUUGGGGAGAGAGGAGGAAGCCUGAAGCUGGGCCUGGCCCUCCCUCUCACUCAGAUUUCUCAAGAUAGUAAGGGAGAGGGUGGGGCUUUGCAGGUGACUGCACCAGGGAAGGUCCCCUAGAGCAUCCCCACACUUCUGCUUUUACUCUGUGUGUGUGUGUGUGUGUGUGUGUGUGUGUGUGUGUGUGUGUUUGUACAGUGUAGGAGAUUUGAGGGUGGUGGGCAUGCUGGGAUCUACCAGAUUUUCCCAACUUCUACCUUGCUGCCUUUGAGGAGAGUCUAAAGUUUGUUUCCUGCACCCAAUGAGACAAUUUUCUUGAGUAUGGAAAGUGGGAUUUGGGGAAUCAGGAGGACUCUUGCCUAUUGCCCAGGCUGGAGUCCCGACAGUGCUAAAUUACAAAGACUCUGCUUAAAAUGCAUAGUUGGACAUCUCUGGAAGGUUGCAUGGUACUGUAGUUGUCUCUAGGAAGGGAAAGUGGGUGGUUGGAGGACAGGAAAGAGAGCCUUACUUUUCUCUCUUACCCUUCUUUGAUAACUUUUUUUUUUUUUUUUUUUUUUUGCAGUACACGGGCCUCUCACUGUUGUGGCCUCUCCUGUUGCGGAGCACAGGCUCCGGACACGCAGGCCCAGCGGCCGUGGCUCAUGGGCCCAGCCGCUCCGCGGUAUGUGGGAUCUUCCCGGACCGGGGCACGAACCCGUGUCCCCUGCAUCGGCAGGCGGACUCUCAACCACUGCGCCACCAGGGAAGCCCCCUGAUAACUUUUAAAUUUUGUUCCAUUUGCAAGUACUCCCUAUUCAAACAAAGAAUAAUACAUCGUUACCCAAGAAAGAAAAGAAAAAGAGAAACCUUUUCCAUAUUAGUGCUAAAGUAAUUCACAGUGUUAGUCAUUGACUGGACAAGCACUAUGGCAUCCUGUUGGACAUCAGGCACUGUACUAGGUACUGGAGACUCUGCAGAGAUCAAUGCAGCAUCCCUUGCUUCACAGAGAUCCCCGUCGGGAGAGUGACUGAGACAGAGAACCAGGACCACGCAAUGUCAGAAGCGUGAUGAUGGGGAAGGUGCAAAGAAGGCUCCUCUGGCCAGACUCGGGGAGAGGAAGCCUUCCUGGACCUGGUGCUGUCCAUGCUGAGACUCAAAGGGUACAUAGGAGUUAGCCAGGGGAGAAGAGAGAACCAGGCAUAUGGAACAUCACAACAAGUACAAAGAGUGCAAGGGCAUUAAAAAAAUCUUGGUUGCUUCCCUGGAAUUGCAAGCACUCGAUAGCUCUGGAGUGUUGAGUUUGGAGGAAGUAUUGGAGAAAUGAAGUUAAAGAGGUAAGGUCAGAUUAUGAAGUGUUUUAUAAACAAGUUUAAGAUAAGUUAGUGGUCACUUUGAAGGCAGGUGUGGAGCACCUAGGGACAGGGGUUAAUAAUAACCCACAGGUAUUGGAAUGCUCUUUUAUGCCAAGCACUAUAAUCUUUUUACGUAAGUUUCUUCAUUUAAUCCUCCCAGAAAGCCUGAGAUAUUUACUAUUAUUUUUUUUCUAUUUUAUGAGUGAGGAAACUGAGGCUUAGAGAGGUUAAAUUCAGUGGGAAAUAUUACAGGGUCACACAGGAAAUACUAUAGAUGUCUUAGCACACAGCUAGCCCAGGGCAAAGCUGGGGUCUCUCCGAGGCACUCACUCAGUCUGCAGUGCUACUUCCUCAUUCAGAUAGAGCAGUGGUUCUCAACAGGGAGUGAUUUUGCCCCUCAGGAGACAUCUGGCAGUGUCUGGAAACAUUUUUGGCUGUUACAGCUAGGGGGAUGCUACUGGCAUCUAGUGGGUAACUAACAUCCUACAAAAGACAGUCACACACAGCAAAGAAUUAUCUGGUCCCAAAUGUCAAUAGUGCCAAGGUUGAGAAAUCCUGAGACAGAGGAUGAAUUGUAAGGGGCAGACAUAAGGAGGUAGCCAGAGGGUGAGCGUGAGAGUUUUAGAAAAAACUAUUUUUUUUAAGGACUUGUGUAUACUGUAUUUACAGCAGCAAGAGACAGGGGCCAGUGGCAACAAAGUCCUGGAUGGACCGGACACAUCCUUUUCCCAGUAUGCUCCUGCCGCUCCCAAGCACCAGUUUUAAGAGUUCAGAGAGAGGCUUCCCUGGUGGCGCAGUGGUUGAGAAUCUGCCUGCCAAUGCAGGGGACACGGGUUCAAGCCCUGGUCUGGGAAGAUCCCACUUGCUGAGGAGCAACUGGGCCCCUGAGCGACAAUUACUGAGCCUGAGAGUCUGGAGCCUGUGCUCCGCAACGAGAGAGGCCGCGAUAGUGAAAGACCCUGUGCACCGCGAUGAAGAGUGGCCCCCACUUGCCACAACUGGUGAAGGCCCUCGCACAGAAACGAAGACCCAACACAGCCAUAAAUAAAUAAAUAAAUAAAUAAAUUUAAAUCAUUUGGGCUUCUAAUAAGACCUCUGCUUAAAAGACAACAACAACAAAAAAAGAGUUUAGAGAAAACCAAUGAUGAAUUAUCCUAGAGUUACCCAGAGCUAACUCUGAAGAGUUUCCUGCCACCUGAUAGACCCAGGACUGUUAAGGGAUACUAGCCAAGAUGACCGCCUCCUCACCUAUUCUGAAUAGAUCAGAAUAGAACCCUGUUCUGAUAGGCCAGGGCUCCCAGCUCUGAUGCUGCUGACACAUGGUACUGGAGCCCAACAUUUCUGGUCAAUGCAUAAUUUCAACAAAUGAUAACAAGCAGCAGCCAAGAGACCAGAGACACAAGAAGAAUAUUGCAAACCUUAUUGCCUGAAUAUGCUAUUCUCACAAGUAUCCCUUCCACCUGGGUCAAGAGAGGAUAUUAGGUGGGUUACCUGCCUAUUCACUGAUUUAACACAGAGCCCUCCCUUGUCUUUCUACCUGUAAACUCCAGACUCCUAUAAAGUGGGUCUUUAUAGGAAGCAUGUAAAAACUCAGAGGAUGAGGCAAAACACUGCUUUAGUUUCGAGGAUGUUUCGUGUUGGGUACUUGUACUCCUGAGUGCUUUAGAUCAGCGGUCCCCAGCCUUUUUGGCACCAGGGGCCUGUUUCAUGGAAGAAAAUUUUUCCACGGACCAGGGGUAGGGGUAUGGUUCUGGCAGUAAUGCAAGCGACGGUUCAGGCGGUAAUGCUAGCGAUGGAGAGUGAUGGGGAGCGGCAGAUGAACUUCGCUGGCUCGCUCUCCCUCCCCUCACCUCCUGCUGUGCGGCCCGGUUUGGUUCCUAACAGGCCAAGGACAGGUGGUUGGGGACCCCUGCUUUAGAUCCUGCUUAUCUCUCGGUUUCCAAUCUUUACCUGAACUCUUAACUGUUUCCCUCCUGGUUCUUGUCUGGCUCUGCAGUUUGACUCUCAACAGAUGUGUCUGUCCUAAUUGGGCUUUCCAGCAGACCUUGUCCCUGUUCCAGGCCUACAUGAGUCAUCAAAGUCUUGCCUCUGUCUUCCCUAUUAUAGCUUUUCAUCUUGCCCACUGUCUUAGCCCUGAGAGUGAGGAAAAGUUGUCCCUAGGGCCUAGGAUCUAAGAGUGCUCAGGAAGAUCCACCUUUUCCUACAUCUGAGAGUCCAUUCUUAGACAGUUAAAUUCUUCUAAACAUCCUGUGUUUCCCAAAGUGUCCACAUGGGAAUUCCAGGAGGUAGAUACUAAGUGGAACAAAGAUUUUUGUAGCCAAAUAAGUUUGGGGAAUGCUCUGUGGACUUAUUUUCUUGUCUACAACAAGGCUUCUCAGAGCCCUUGAAAUACUAUGUUCAGAAUAAAGGUCCAAUAAGGGCAUUUAUACAGUUCACAAUCCAUUACCCCAAACCCUUGGGAUGAGAUGUAUUUGGAAUUCAGAAUUUUUCAGAUUUCAAUAAGGUAAUGUGAUGAAUAUGCUAUUUAUCCCAUAGCAUCCCCAGCAGAGUGGGACAGGCCCUGUAAUCACAUAUUUCUGCAGAAAAACUUCUGGAUAGUCACACUAAGUAAGUUAAAUAAAGAAUCUGAAAACUUACAGAUCAAUUUAGGUCAGGUUCUGUCCCUGAGUUAUGAAAAAACUUUUGGUUUUCAGGACUUUUUGGACUUCAACAUUGUGGAUAAAGGAUUGUGAACCUGUGUAUGAAGCCCCACCAAAUAUAUUUUGGCCACAGAACCCCCCUUUUCCAGGAGCAUCCAGUAGGAAUAGCAUCCCCAGACUCUUGACACCUGAGCUAUUGGUCUGCAAAACAACUUUCCCAUGGGAGGGAACACACUGUGGCCUCGCCAGGCACUCACAUUAGCCUCAUCAUCUCUGGUGACAACUAGAUGAGAUGUGGAUUCUGAUAGCUGAACAAGGAGGUGGAGGUUGAAAGACUGAGCACCCACCAGACACAGCAGAUCUGGUUGGGUAGUCAUGGUGCUCAGCCUUCAGGUCCUGGGUGGAAAAAAGGGGCAUGAGGAAGAGCAGCACUGUGGAAACAUGGGCUAGUGUUUUCCUCCUAGCACUCUUCCACAUUUUUCAAAUUGCUUUAAAAAACUUCACAUUUUUCCCUCCCUGAUUAUUGUUUUCUACUGCAAGGAGUUGCUCUGAGUGUUGCUGAGGGAGAGAGGCAGGCCCAGUGCUGAUGUUCACCCUGAGGGCAAGAUGCUGGGUCCCUGGGAAGAUGGCUUCCUGUUGUUCUGGCAUCAUUGUUCUAGCCCAGAGUUGAGGUGUGGUUGUGGGGCGCACAUGAAGCCAGUGUCCCCUGGGUUAGGAGGAGGAUGCUGGAUUUCUGGAAUAUUUCCAGGAAGACUUCCUGCUUUGACAAAAACAACACAAACACAGGAAAAGGGUCUGGGGCCUAAGGGGAGGGAAUAAUGAACCAGAGUGGAAACUUUGGAAUGGAGGCUUGUACAGAGAACAGCCAGGUACAGAGAAGCUUUCCCCUCGCCAUCCAGCUAUGUUCCUCCGUCCAGCGGAGAGCAUUUCUCCAUUGAGGGUGACAGGUUGGGAGCUGGAAGAGGGGGACCAGUAACUCUUGAACCUUCUCCACCUUCCUCUUAUCCACUCUGCACUUAGUGUCAUAUUUCACUGUAGCCUGGUCCAUGGAUGGUGAGGGUGGAGAGGGGACAGUGGACCAGUGGCCAUUUAGCUAGGGCCUCACGUUUAUGAAGGGCCUCAAAUACAGACCUUAAAUGUGUAGGGUUUUAUAUCCAUCAAAGAGCUACACUCAGCCUCACUCACUGGGAUUAGCAGAAAACAUGCAUCCCAAACUUGUCCCAUUACCAGAUCACCAGCUGUAGUGUGCUAUAAACUAUUAUUAUUUUCAUAUGGCUUGUGAUUUGCACCAUUAUGCUGCAUUACGUGUGUGUAUGUAUGUGUGUAUGGGGGGGGGGUCACAAGCUUUAAUUUACUAAGUAUAAAUAUUUGAAAUAGACCACAAUUUAGUAACUAUUUUUUGGCAAUUAAAAAACAUCAGGAGCCAAAAAAAUAUGGUAGUAAACAUAUUUUAAAAAAUAAUGAAAUGGAAAUAGUCUGGCCCUAUCUUCACAUCUGAGAAGGAUAAAGGGAACUCCAAGCAGGAGGCUCAGGGUGCUUGUCCCAGCUGGGUGGUUGGACUCAGAGCUUGUAGAGGACAGGGUAUUCUGCCAGCCUCUGGGACCUCCUUUCACUGCUCUGGCCAACUCUGGCUUCAUCUGCAUCACUCUAGCGGCCUCUGCUGGGUUAGGGGUGAAAGGCGACCAAGGAUAAGGUGGCGCUCAGAACUCUGGCUGGGAAGCUGGGUGGAAUUGCCUAAUGGGCAGUGUGAGGGCCUUGGUAUCAGAAGGGACUCAAAGAAGAUAAGAUCUGACGACCUCAAGGCUGUUUAUGCCAUGCUCCGGUUUAACAAACUUCUGAUAGUGGUGCUGAGGAUGGGAGGCCAGUCCAGAUCCGAAGGCAAGAUGGCUGCACCCAGGAAGAGAAAUAUUCUAUUGCUGGGUGGGGAUUCAUGACUCAGUUUCUUCUCUUCUGACUUAUUUCUCCAUAUAGUGACCACCAAAGGGCCUGGCCUCUCUGAGAAGGGCAGCCAUCCUCCUCCAUACAGCUGGUCAUGACCCCUCCGAUUCAGAGAGAGAGACCAGGAAGACUUGCUGAGGCCUCCUGGCCACAGCUGAGUUCUGUGACCCAGCUUUUACUAAGGGACCUUGUUCUGAGGACAAGUGGGAGCCUUACCCAGCCAGUUAAUGAAAAUCCUUCUUCUUGUGCAUGUGACAUUUAUCCCUGUGAGGUAGAUGGUAGCGUUCAGGCCCCCAAACCCUUCUUUGAACAUAAUGGUGACCAAGUGGGUCCCAGUGAGUAUUGGGGAUAAAAAUAACACACGGGAGCUCACAGCUUAGUGCAGCUGCCGUGGCUAGUGACAGAAGCUGGUAUCAGGUUAUUGAGAAAAUAGAGCCUUUUAGGUCUGGCAAAGGCUCACUUCAAACAGACAGAGGUUGUCGUCAUCAUGAGUAAAGCAGUUUAUACCCCAACAGCUUGCUUUCCCCCUUCACUCUGUUUCUCAUUCAACAUUGCAGAUGGAAACUUUAAACUGUAGAAAAAGCAGCUGAGUUUCAUAUGGACUAAGAACACUUAUGUGUGAACUUUGGGUCUUAAGUCACUAGUGGUAGCAGCCUCUCCCAGUUCUUCCUGUUUCUCUUGCUUUGUAUAUUACCCAGGGUUUCUGAAAUCAUGCCGUUCCUCUACUCAUAUGCCCGGGUCAGCCCGCGCUGCUUGAUGGUACAGGGCCUUGUCACAGUUGUGGAUUUCACAGAACAGAGAUAGUGGCUCAACCACAAAACAGUGGUUGGCUUUAUCAAUGGAUAGUAAAGAGGAAAACCAUAUUUAUAGUAAUUGAAAAAACCUAUUUCUGGAGCAGUCUGUAUCUAGGAAUCAGAUUUGCUCAGACUCAGGAUUACUACCUGCAAUGUACAGGAAACUCCCGAAGAUCAACAAGAAAAAAGACCAGAAAUCCGAUGGAAAAGUGAGCAAUGGAUAAAUUAGGAAAUCAUAGAAGGGAAAUCAGAAGAGCUGGCAAGUUUGUAAAGAUAUGCUUAACCUUAGAAGCAUUCUGAGCGAUGCAAAUUAAAACAUGAUAUCACUUUGCAUCAUUAGAUUGGCAAAGGUUAGACAAGUCAUAUAUCACUUACCAAGUGUUGGCAAGGAUGUGGGGAAAACGGAACCAUUGCUGGUGGGAGUAUAAACUUGUAGAACAAUUCUAGAAGCCAUCUGACUCUAUUUCAUGAAUUUAAAUAUGUUAUACCCAAAGAGCCAAUGAUCCCACUCUUGGGUAUAUUGCUCGCCCAAAACUCUCAAACAGGCCUAUAAUGGAACAUAAACAAGUAUAUUUGUCAGCAGAUUGUGUGUGGAGGCAAACCUGGGUGUCAUCCCUGGAGAAAUGGAGCAGUGAAAUGUGUGGAUGCAUGCUUGGAAGUACUGUGUAGCCACCAGACACAAUGAACCAGAGGUACUUAAAGCCACACAUCAAUCUUAAAAACAUGUGUCAUGUAAAGAAGAAAUACAAUAAGAUCUAUGGUACAAUAACAUUUACGUAGACUGAAGUCACAUCUAUCCAUAAAAGAGCACUAUGUAUCUUUUAGGAAUACCAAUAUACCUGUGGACAUACAUUACACAUAUUAUAGUGAGUGCCCUUUAUAGGGUGGGGAGAAAAAUAGAUGGUUAGGGGAAUGAAUGGGAAAAAAAUAAAAGAGGGCACCUAUCUACUAAUGACAAAAUGAUGUACCAUCAACUGAAGAGAUUUGUCCAACUCUCUGUGCCAGAGACAUAAAAUAAAUUGCUGUCAAAAAUCUUCAUACAGGGAUUUCCCUGGUGGGGCACUGGUUAAGAAUCCGCCUGCCAAUGCAGGGGACACAGGUUCGAUCACUGGUCUGGGAAGAUCCCACAUGCUGCAGAGCAACUAAGCCUGUGCACCACAACUACUGAGUCCGCAUGCCACAACUACUGAAACCCACGUGCCUAGAGCUGGUGCUCCACAACAAGAGAAGCCACUGCAAUGAGAAGCCCGCGCACCACAGCGAAGAGUAGUCCCCGCUCGCUACAACUAGAGAAAGCCCAUGCACAGCAACGAAGACCCAACGCAGCCAAAAAAAAAAUUUAUUAAAAAAAUUUUUUUCAUACAGAUGGUCAAAAAUAAGGGCAUCUUGGGCUUCCCUGGUGGUGCAGUGGUCGA